rnacentral:rRNA from 1 species
UUUCCGUAGGUGAACCUGCGGAAGGAUCAUUAUUGAAUUAUGUUUUCUAGAUGGGUUGUAGCUGGCUCCCAGGAGCAUGUGCACACCUGUUUGGACUUCAUUUUCAUCCACCUGUGCACCUUUUGUAGUCUUUGUUGGGUAUUGAGGAAGUGGUCAGCCUAUCAGCUCUUGCUGGAUAUGAGGACUUGCAGUGUGAAAGCAUUGCUAUCUUCUACUUGGCCAUGGAAUCUUUUGCCUAUCAAAGUCUAUGUCAUUCAUUAUACCCUAUAGAAUGUUAUUGAAUGUCUUUACAUGGGCUUCCAUGCCUAUGAAAAUUGUAAUACAACUUUCAGCAACGGAUCUCUUGGCUCUCGCAUCGAUGAAGAACGCAGCGAAAUGCGAUAAGUAAUGUGAAUUGCAGAAUUCAGUGAAUCAUCGAAUCUUUGAACGCAUCUUGCGCUCCUUGGUAUUCCGAGGAGCAUGCCUGUUUGAGUGUCAUUAAAUUCUCAACCGUCCUAUACUUUAUUGUAAAGGAAGGCUUGGAUUGUGGAGGCUUGCUGGCCACUUUUGAGGUCAGCUCCUCUGAAAUGCAUUAGCGGAACUGUUUGCGAUCUGCCACAAGUGUGAUAAAUUAUCUACACUGGCGAGGGGAUUGCUCUCUGUGUUCAGCUUCUAAUCGUCUUAGUGACAAUUUUUUUGAAUGCUUGACCUCAAAUCAGGUAGGACUACCCGCUGAACUUAA